rnacentral:rRNA from 1 species
CAGCCGCCGCGGGAAUACGGAGGGUGCAAGCGUUAAUCGGAAUUACUGGGCGUAAAGCGUGCGUAGGCGGUUCGUUAAGUCUGUUGUGAAAGCCCCGGGCUCAACCUGGGAAUGGCAAUGGAUACUGGCGAGCUAGAGUGUGUCAGAGGAUGGUGGAAUUCCCGGUGUAGCGGUGAAAUGCGUAGAGAUCGGGAGGAACAUCAGUGGCGAAGGCGGCCAUCUGGGACAACACUGACGCUGAGGCACGAAAGCGUGGGGAGCAAACAGGAUUAGAUACCCCUGUAGUCCCUGUCUCUUAUAA